rnacentral:rRNA from 1 species
CCUACGGGAUGCAGCAGUGAGGAAUAUUGGUCAAUGGACGAGAGUCUGAACCAGCCAAGUAGCGUGAAGGAUGACUGCCCUAUGGGUUGUAAACUUCUUUUAUAAAGGAAUAAAACGAGGCACGUGUGCCUUUUUGCAUGUACUUUAUGAAUAAGGAUCGGCUAACUCCGUGCCAGCCGCCGCGGUAAUACGGAGGAUCCGAGCGUUAUCCGGAUUUAUUGGGUUUAAAGGGAGCGUAGAUGGGUUGUUAAGUCAGUUGUGAAAGUUUGCGGCUCAACCGUAAAAUUGCAAUUGAUACUGGCAGUCUUGAGUACAGUUGAGGUAGGCGGAAUUCGUGGUGUAGCGGUGAAAUGCUUAGAUAUCACGAAGAACCCCGAUUGCGAAGGCAGCUUACUAAACUGUGACUGACAUUGAUGCUCGAAAGUGUGGGUAUCAAACAGGAUUAGAUACCCUUGUAGUC